rnacentral:rRNA from 1 species
AGAGUUUGAUCAUGGCUCAGAUUGAACGCUGGCGGAAUGCUUUACACAUGCAAGUCGAGCGGCAGCGCGGGGCAACCUGGCGGCGAGCGGCGAACGGGUGAGUAACACAUCGGAACGUAUCCAGUCGUGGGGGAUAGCCCGGCGAAAGCCGGAUUAAUACCGCAUACGACCUGAGGGUGAAAGUGGGGGAUCGCAAGACCUCACGCGAAUGGAGCGGCCGAUGUCCGAUUAGCUAGUUGGUGAGGUAAAGGCUCACCAAGGCGACGAUCGGUAGCUGGUCUGAGAGGAUGAUCAGCCACACUGGGACUGAGACACGGCCCAGACUCCUACGGGAGGCAGCAGUGGGGAAUUUUGGACAAUGGGGGAAACCCUGAUCCAGCCAUUCCGCGUGAGUGAAGAAGGCCUUCGGGUUGUAAAGCUCUUUCGGCAGGAACGAAACGGUUACGGCGAAUACCCGUGACCACUGACGGUACCUGAAGAAGAAGCACCGGCUAACUACGUGCCAGCAGCCGCGGUAAUACGUAGGGUGCGAGCGUUAAUCGGAAUUACUGGGCGUAAAGCGUGCGCAGGCGGUUAUGCAAGCCAGACGUGAAAGCCCCGGGCUUAACCUGGGAAUGGCGUUUGGGACUGCAUGGCUAGAGUACGUCAGAGGGGGGUGGAAUUCCACGUAGCAGUGAAAUGCGUAGAGAUGUGGAGGAACACCGAUGGCGAAGGCAGCCCCCUGGGAUGAUACUGACGCUCAGGCACGAAAGCGUGGGGAGCAAACAGGAUUAGAUACCCUAGUAGUCC